rnacentral:rRNA from 1 species
UGGCGGCAGGCCUAACACAUGCAAGUCGAGCGGAUGAGUGGAGCUUGCUCCAUGAUUCAGCGGCGGACGGGUGAGUAAUGCCUAGGAAUCUGCCUAUUAGUGGGGGACAACGUUUCGAAAGGAACGCUAAUACCGCAUACGUCCUACGGGAGAAAGCAGGGGACCUUCGGGCCUUGCGCUAAUAGAUGAGCCUAGGUCGGAUUAGCUAGUUGGUGAGGUAAAGGCUCACCAAGGCGACGAUCCGUAACUGGUCUGAGAGGAUGAUCAGUCACACUGGAACUGAGACACGGUCCAGACUCCUACGGGAGGCAGCAGUGGGGAAUAUUGGACAAUGGGCGAAAGCCUGAUCCAGCCAUGCCGCGUGUGUGAAGAAGGUCUUCGGAUUGUAAAGCACUUUAAGUUGGGAGGAAGGGCAGUAAGUUAAUACCUUGCUGUUUUGACGUUACCGACAGAAUAAGCACCGGCUAACUCUGUGCCAGCAGCCGCGGUAAUACAGAGGGUGCAAGCGUUAAUCGGAAUUACUGGGCGUAAAGCGCGCGUAGGUGGUUUGUUAAGUUGGAUGUGAAAGCCCCGGGCUCAACCUGGGAACUGCAUCCAAAACUGGCAAGCUAGAGUACGGUAGAGGGUGGUGGAAUUUCCUGUGUAGCGGUGAAAUGCGUAGAUAUAGGA